CCCUAUUAAGGGAAAAUGAUGUUAAAGGAAGCUUUGAAGGUUCCCUAUCGUUUGAGAAAGCUAAGAUAACUACCUCAUCAACUGAUUCAAAAUUAGCAAGCUUGCUGCCAGGAACCUUAGUUACUUCCUCAACAAACACAAUUCCACAUAUUCAAAGUCAAAUCGAGUUCAACCCAAGGAAGUCAGAUGUUGAAAAAGAUGGGAAGGUGAUUCCUGUGAUAAAUCCUCAAGACUUGAAAGCUGAUGAUCUCAUCAAUAUGCUUCAAUC